UGCCGUCAUAGGCAACUCUCGCAAGUUCAUUUUAUUGGAUUUGAUGUUGAAACAAUUAGUAGUUGAAAUAUUAAGAAAUAAUAAAUAAAUAGUCAUUCAUGUUUGUUGAUUAGAUUUAUAUGUUUAAAUGUGUUAUUUGUGCUAACUGUGCAAUUAGAUAGGAACCUUUUCUAUAGUUCCGUUUGUUGUUGCUAAGAGGGUAUUUUUUGGCUGUCACACUCAGCAAGCUAAUUAAGAGACGAGCCACGAGGUUUGCACGUCUACAGUAAGAUAAAUAAAAGAGUGCCUUUUUUGGACUACCCCACGACGUAAGGAUUAAAGUUUUUAUUCCCUUUGAGUGAGGCCAAUGAGUUCUGACGGCAUUGUAUCGGCUGUGGUUGGGCAUCAUUACAUGUUAAGGCAUGUCGAAGAAUCCUCCUGUCCGAAAUAAAUGUCAGUUUAAAAGCAAA